CUGUGCCUGAAUUGGCAGCUCAGAAAAUCUGCUUUGUCAACAUGACAGCCAAGCUCUGUGUUAUCUGUCAUUGUCUAAUUAUAUUUUCACAUUCGUCGUGGCAGUUAUUGCAGUGCAGGUAUUUGCAUGUGUCUGUGUGCAUGUGUGGAUGUAUUUGUGCAUGUCUUCUGCCUCAUUGCACUUCCCUCUGCUCUUACCAGCAGAUGCUACCACAGCCCCCCUGCCUUCUCACCCUCGAUGAACCGGAGACAAGUGCCAGAGGAAAUCCGGAUCUGGUCGUCCUCUGUUCAGCCACACAGCAGGGAUGAGACUGUCCACAGACUGAAACAGCAUGUGCUGCUCCUAUCAUCAGGCCCGUGACUCCGAGGCUGCUCAGUAGCUGGACAUCCUGAAGCAAGGAUCUCUCAGUUGCUGCCCGACCUACACGAGAGCUGACUGGAUCUCGAGAGGAACAGUCGUAUGCAGCAAAAUUAGAAGCAGCUACAGAGUCCAACUCAGCAGGCCCAGGAGCGGCAGAGUCAGCUGCAGGUAAUGGAUGCCUGGUGCAAAUGGGAGCAGAGAAUUGAAGCACUAAUGGAGUAUAAGCAGCAGAAGUGGAGCUCUCAGAAGCAGUACAAUGUUUAUUACCAGAUGGAAGAGAGAUGCUGGCACAUGCAAGUAGAGCACAUACAUCAUCAAUAAACUCCAUUGACCCAAUCAUAAAUGGCCAUGACAUGACCUCCAGCAGAUUUGACAGAUGUGGCUCUACCCCAGAGGUGUGCUCAAGGCAUCCAGCAGUGGAGUACGCAUUGUGCAAACGCGGGGCCACCUGAGUGGAAGUGUCCAGAUUCAGGCACCUUCAAGAGGAAAGGGGAUCGGCUGCAGGCAGAGGUCCUGUUAAGGGGCAGCGCAGUCAAACGGAGGUAACAGUUCUAGAUGAGAGGGUUAGCACAAGGAGCAACAGCCUAACCAGUGAGGCAGGAGUGCAGUGGAUGGAAUGAGGGACCAGGCUCAUGGAUCUGUUGAAGACAGUAGGGUUUCUAUAGGAAAGAGCUGCGCUACACAGUAGCAAAAGUAAAGAGGCAUACAGCCUGAUUGGGAGUACUCCAUUGAUGCAACAGACAGUGGCACAACAUAUUCUACUGUCAACCCACUGAGGUUUACACAGAAGCUCAGACAAGACCCCUGCAAAGACCCAGCUUGUCUCCAACCCUGGCUUUAAUGUUUUGUGAGAAACAUUCACCUGAGUGAUGGCAGUUGCCCCAGCUGAUCACUGGCAUGGAAAUGUCCCAUGAGUUUCAGUUGGGGCCUUUUUUAGGUGGAGAGGUCUUUGUUGUCAGCAUCAGCAGCCACAGGAGGAGCUGGCAGAAGUUAUGACAACUGGGUAGCUCCAGGGCAUUAACUGCAAAGCUGCAGUCACUCAAUAGGCGGAUCAUUUCAGGUCGGAGGCCCCGUGUGAAAUCAGAUGUUUAACUGGCCGGCUGAAGGGGGACACAAGCAUCUUAACCAGCACCUUGCCAAAGGUCUCGUGUUCAAUCAACCGACCGGGGCUGCUGUUCACCUGCAAGAGGGCGGGGAAUCGGCAAAUUGAGGUCAAAGCUACGCGCAGUGAGAAGACAGCAGAGGAGAAGAUCUAGUGUUCGGUUAGCAGAGCAGAGAGCCUACAGAGGAGGAGGAGCAUCACUCUGAAAACCUUUGCCAGCAUUUGUCCAUCCAGCAGCCAGCAGUCAUGGCAGCUGGAUGGAGUUUCAGCUGAAGAGCUUGUCCUUGAAGUUACUUCACCCUUAAGGGGACAAAUGUUGAAAAGGACAGAUUGUAUCACUCCAAUUUGAGGGGCUUUAAACAUGUUUGUGAUGUUUUUUUCCAAUCAUAUAUACUACCUAUUUAAAGUAAAUAGUUCAACAAUUCUGUACUACCAGACUAUAAAGGUGGAAUAUAAAUGUUUAUGAUGUUUGAUGUGUUUUUUUCCUUUCCUAGUCAGAAUGUCCUGAAUGACAUUUUUUGUGUUGUUAAGUUGAAGAAAUUAUUGGCUUAAAGUAAUAAUAAUCUAUAUUUCAUGGUUAAGUUUCUUUACACUGUUUUCUAUCAAAGUGUAGCACUUUUGUUUGGAGUCACAAAAAGCAUCUUCUCCUAGAGCAAUAGACCCACAAGCCAGACUCCAAAAUCUUAAUGAGUGUACCCAGAUAGACAAGAAAUUGCAUCCAAAUAAAAGAAUAAUAAAGGCAUCUA